UCCAGCACACUCACAGCGCACAUGCAAACACACACAACCCACAAACAGCACAACCCACAAAAACACACAAUACACCUCCACACUGCACAAAUACACAACACACACAUCCACACACCACACACAAAUAUACUACACACAUCCACACACCACCAUAAAUACACUACACACAUCCACACACCACACACACAAAUACACUACACACAUCCACACCGCACACACUACACACAUUCACACCACACAUACACACUCGCAACUUCACUCAGUGCACAUGCAUACGCCCACAAAUACACCGAACACACACAUCCACAUCAUGCAAAUACACUACACACACAUUCACACCACACAUACACACACC
rnacentral:lncRNA from 1 species